UUUUUUUUUUUUUUUUUUUUUGGUGUGCCAGAGGCAUGUGGAAGUUCCUGGGCCAGGGAUUGAACCUGAGCCAUAGUAGUGACCUGAGCCAUAACACUGACAACACUGGAUCCUUAACCUCCUUUGCUAUCAGGCAACUCCCACAAAUGUAUUUUGUAUUUGGAAUUAAGUAAAUGAUGUGCUGAGGCCGCUCUCUCCAGAACCCUUUAGUAAUUCCUUAGGUUUGGUUUGCUCUACACUUGAUCUUUAGACUAUACAGCCCCCACCACAAUUACUGAAGCAACAGAUGGAGCUGACUUAGGGGCUGCUAUCCAAGCCACAGUUCUCUAAGAGGUCAAGGGGCGGGUGUUGCAAUCCUGAAUGGGACUGGUCAAUCGAUUCAGCUACCUCAAUGGAAGUCCUAAAAAUAGGAUUGAGACACACAGAAUGUUCUAGAGAAUCCAUGAAGGGGUAGAAGCCUCAGAAGCCAACCCGCAGAGACGGAAAAAAAAAAAAAAAAAAGAAAGAAACAAACAGCAGCAGAAGAUGCAGAGCCAUAAGGACCAAAAUGUUGCAGGAAGGGGAACCCUUUUCAGGACCCAAGAAUGGGCUCUCAUCUAACACUCAGAAAUGGCUUGUCUGAGGAGAUACAUGCUGACGAAGCAAAAAACUUUACUGGGAAGGGGGACCCCAGUGGAGAGCAGCAGGAUAAGGGAACCCAGGAGAACUGCUCUGCCACAUGGCUCACAGUCUCUGGUUUUAUGGGAAUGGGAUUAGUUUCCAGGUCAUCUCUAGCCAGUCAUCCUGCUCAGCCCUUACUUGGUCUGACCCAGGGCCCUUCUUAGUGACAUGCAUAUCUCUCAGCCAAGAUGGAUUCAAGCACCAAGGGUUCCAGAAGGUUGGUUGUCUCCUCCCUCCUUUUGGCCCCUCCCAAAUCCUCCUGGGGCAGCACCUUGGUUCCUUAUCAGGGCCUCCUGCUGUGAGACCACUCAUGCAAACAACUAUUGCAGUGCUUGGUCAAAGUGGGCAGUUUUGGUCACUGUUCCUCUAACAAAAAGAGUAGAAACUCUUGAUUGGUGAACGGAGCCACAAGCCACACCAUCAGCAGUGAAAACCACAAAGGGGAGCAGAGGAGCAGCAACCAGUAUGGUGCGGUUUCACCCUUGGUUUCCAAAAUUGCUAUUGAGAAGGGAGUUGCCAAUGUCCUUGGUCAGAUCCACACAAUCUCCUUUUUGGCGCGACUAUAGGUCACUUCACCAAACUCUUUGCCUCCAUCUACCUUAUACUCUGAGAACCUACCAUCGAUGCAGUUUCCAGACUUAUCAAUGAUGGUUCAGUCUCCUCAAGCGAUAAUCUCCUGCAAACAGUACCACACUGCCUGCAGUUUCAAGUCCAAAAGCUUAGUGAGUCAUAUCAGGGUCUCCUCAAUGAGCAUCAAAUUUUGGUAAGUGUAGCAGCCUCCUGCAGCAUAUGACAAAAAUGAUUCUGAUUUUGCUGGUAGGUGAAGCUCAGAAAAUGGUAUAUUUUUAUGCAAAUGGCAUGGUUUGAAAAUAGAAAGUAUAAAGGGAUUUCAAAAAAUCUGCCUUCUGCCUUUGGAUUCAUCUAUACACUCUCUCUCCUCUUCUCCCCCUAAUUUCUUGUUUAUUCUUCCAGAUAUAUUUUACGCUAAUAUUUUUCAGUAUGAAUAUAUAUUAUUUUCUUUAAUUUAAUGCAAAUAUUUACAUCCAAAACAGGCUGACCCCAAGUUCAUGUGCUUUCUAUCUAUUCAUGAUUUCCAACACUCCUCCCUCCAAAUAGUUAGGCAUAUGGAGUGGGUGAACCCCUUUGGCAAAACACUGACUUUCCAGAAAAAUUAAAAUAAAACAAAUACAAAUUACAACAGUUGAUACAAUAAAUUAAUAACUAAGAGAAGGGAAAACUUAAGACGUCCCUUGGUUGGAAAAAAAACCUAAGCAGUCUUUCAAAAAUCUAAGCUACAUGCAAGCCUGUGAUUUACAUUUUUUUAAUUAGGAAAAAUAAGUCUAAAUGAAUUUAAAGUUUCAUACUGAAGCAAACACCCCAGGGUAGAGGUAAAGACUGUGUUCCUUACAUUUUCCAACACAAAACACAGCACCUGGCACAUAAUAGGUGUUCAAUGAAAGUUCUGAUGAAACCAUAAAUGCAUAAAUGAAUGAAAUCAGAAAUAUCUGAAUGAAUGGGAAGGCCCAAGGAUUUUGAUUUAGGAAAGAGAGAGAUCCAACAUAGAAAUCAAGAAAACUCGGUAGUGCCCAAAUAAAGAUAUUAAAUCUGCAUUGUAAUUUUGACUUUACAGUUUUCCCAUCAGUAUUAAAAAUAUUGUACAACACAGGAAAUAUAGCCAAUAUUUUAUAGAAACUAUAAAUGGCACAACCUUUAAAAAUUGUGAACCACUAUGCUGUACACAUGAAACUUACAUAAUAUUCCACAUCAACUAUAUCUCAAUAAAAAGUAAAUAAAAUUUGGAGUUCCCUGGUGGCUCAGCACAUUAAGGAUCCAGCAUUGUCACUUGUUGUAACAGGUGGUAUUGGUUGUAACAGUAGCCAGAAUGGCCACCACUGUGUUACUGUGUUCCCUUUUGUGUUUGGGGGACUGUGGAUGGUCUGGUUACUGCUGUGGCGUGGGUUUUACCUAUGGAACUUAAACAUGUCUCAGGAGUGGCAUAAAAAAUAAAUAAAUAAAAAGUAAAUAAAAUUUAAAAAUCCUAUGGAAAGAAUAAUAAUGAGAUUGAAGUUGUGUUUCAAUCAAAUUGAACCUCCCUUAAAAUGUAUAUAAGAACGUAUAUGUGAUUUGAGAAUGGCCACCACUGUGUUACUGUCUCGAGCUGCUUUAGUUAAUAUUCUUGUACAGCAUCCUAAAAGGAAAAGCAUAGACCCUGUAUCCCUAGUCCCUCUAGCCUGGGAUAAGCCAACAAGUCAAUGAAGUUCAUAAUCUCCCCUUCAAUGGGGCAGCCCAUCCAUGGUCCCACAAACACUACAGGGAACACACUUUCACUUUUACAAAACAUUAGUGAAGAGUCAAGAAUGAUGGAAGCCAGCAGUCCUCUAUAGAACAGUUCACAUUGUGGCACCGCCCCAGCCUCCCCUGGGGUCCUGGGCUGAGUCACCUCCCUGCCUCACUCUCACCUUUCUCCCUGGCCAUGGGCAGCCCAACAUCAGCCCCAGCGAGGUCAAGGAAAAAAUGUCUCCAUUCUCUUUCCUUACCAACGUUUGUCUUCAUCCCUAAAUGAGAGAUGUGAUAAUUACCAUUUCCUUCCAGGGAAAACCUCCCCCCACCACAAUAAGGGAUGAGGUGUGGCUCCAUGACCACAUAUGCCAGGACUCUGUAGGGGGGGCCAG
rnacentral:lncRNA from 1 species